rnacentral:tRNA from 1 species
CCCUGGUGGUUCUGGUGGUAAAGAACCUGCCUGCAAUGCAGGAGACCUGGGUUCGAUCCCUGGAUCGGGAA